GACGAACGCUGGCGGCGUGCUUAACACAUGCAAGUCGAACGAAGAGCGACGGAAGCUUGCUUCUAUCAAUCUUAGUGGCGAACGGGUGAGUAACGCGUAAUCAACCUGCCCUUCAGAGGGGGACAACAGUUGGAAACGACUGCUAAUACCGCAUACGAUCUAACCUCGGCAUCGAGGAUAGAUGAAAGGUGGCCUCUACAUGUAAGCUAUCACUGAAGGAGGGGAUUGCGUCUGAUUAGCUAGUUGGAGGGGUAACGGCCCACCAAGGCGAUGAUCAGUAGCCGGUCUGAGAGGAUGAACGGCCACAUUGGGACUGAGACACGGCCCAGACUCCUACGGGAGGCAGCAGUGGGGGAUCUUCCGCAAUGGACGAAAGUCUGACGGAGCAACGCCGCGUGAGUGAUGACGGCCUUCGGGUUGUAAAGCUCUGUUAAUCGGGACGAAAGGCCUUCUUGCGAAUAGUGAGAAGGAUUGACGGUACCGGAAGAGAAAGCCACGGCUAACUACGUG
rnacentral:rRNA from 1 species